rnacentral:rRNA from 1 species
UACGGGGGGGGCAAGCGUUGUUCGGAAUUACUGGGCGUAAAGGGCUCGUAGGCGGCCAACUAAGUCGGAUGUGAAAUCCCCAGGCUUAACCUGGGAACUGCAUCCGAUACUGGAUGGCUUGAAUCCGGGAGAGGGAUGCAGAAUUCCAGGUGUAGCGGUGAAAUGCGUAGAUAUUGGGAGGAACACCAGUGGCGAAGGCGGCUCACUGGACUGGUACUGACGCUGAGGCGCGAAAGCGUGGGGAGCAAACGGG